AUGGAGUGGUAGAAUUGACAACACAGAUGAGAAAGCUGGGAGACAUGGAGGACUUAGGGCUUAGAAGAUUUGCUGAAAGAAAACUGAUUGCUGAACUGACCGAAUGAUGCUGAGCCAACUACUAGUUGCUGUACAAGGUGUAAUUGCAGGCCAGGAUUGACUGAUUGGGAACCUCAAAUCCAGGAACUGCUUUCAUCAUCCAGCCUUUCUCCCCAACUGGCAAAAGAGUCCAUCAAGCACA